CCAAUAGCGUAUAUUAAAGUUGUUGCAGUUAAAAAGCUCGUAGUUGAACCUUAGGCCCGUGCGGGCGGUCCGUCCUCUGGGCGAGCACUGCCUCGUCGCGGGUCUCACCUUCUGGCGAGCGUGGAUGCCAUUCAUUUGGUGUCUGCGGGAACCAGGACCUUUACCUUGAAAAAAUUAGAGUGCUCAAAGCGGGCUCUUACGCUUGAAUACAUUAGCAUGGAAUAAUGAAAUAGGACGACGGUUCUAUUUUGUUGGUUUCCGGGACGGUCGUAAUGAUUAAUAGGGAUAGUUGGGGGCAUUCGUAUUCAAUUGUCAGAGGUUAAAUUCUUGGAUUUAUUGAAGACGAACUACUGCGAAAGCAUUUGCCAAGGAUGUUUUCAUUAAUCAAGAACGAAAGUUGGGGGAUCGAAGACGAUCAGAUACCGUCGUAGUCUCAACCAUAAACUAAGCCGACUGGGAAUCGGGCGAUGUUAUUUUUCGUGACUCGCUCGGCGCCCCGAG
rnacentral:rRNA from 1 species